rnacentral:rRNA from 1 species
UACGUAGGGGCGAGCGUUGUCCGGAAUGACUGGGCGUAAAGGGCGCGUAGGCGGCCGAAUAAGUCUGGAGUGAAAGUCCUGCUUUCAAGGUGGGAAUUGCUUUGGAAACUGUUUGGCUUGAGUGCGGAAGAGGCAAGUGGAAUUCCCAGUGUAGCGGUGAAAUGCGUAGAGAUUGGGAGGAACACCAGUGGCGAAGGCGACUUGCUGGGCCUUAACUGACGCUGAGGCGCGAAAGCGUGGGGAGCGAACAGGAUUAGAUACCCUGGUAGUCCCU